ACUGUAGCGAUCUCGCCUAUAGUGAGUUCCAUUUACCUCGGAACUCGGAAGCCGGAGCUGGGAAGGACGCCACACACAAGUUAAAUGCGUUCCGGAUUUUCAUUUACAAUUUAUCUCUUACAAGUUG